GAUGAACGCUGGCGGCGUGCCUAAUACAUGCAAGUCGAGCGAACAGACGAGGAGCUUGCUCCUCUGACGUUAGCGGCGGACGGGUGAGUAACACGUGGAUAACCUACCUAUAAGACUGGGAUAACUUCGGGAAACCGGAGCUAAUACCGGAUAAUAUAUUGAACCGCAUGGUUCAAUAGUGAAAGACGGUUUUGCUGUCACUUAUAGAUGGAUCCGCGCCGCAUUAGCUAGUUGGUAAGGUAACGGCUUACCAAGGCAACGAUGCGUAGCCGACCUGAGAGGGGGAUCGCCAACACGGGAAUGAGGACAGGGUCCAAACCCCCACGGGGGGCAGCGGUGGGAAAUUUCCCGGAUGGGGGGAAGGCUGGACGGGGAACCGCCGGGGGGGUGAGAAAGGUUUUGGGUUGGAAAACCCCUUUUUUUGGGAAAAAAAAAAGGGGAAAGAACCAUUCCCGGUUUGGACGGUACCUAACAAAAAAGCCACGGUUAACUGCGG
rnacentral:rRNA from 1 species